AAACCAACAGGGAUUGCCCUAGUAACGGCGAGUGAACAGGCAAGAGCUCAGAUUUGAAAGCCUUUUUGGCAUUGUAUUCUGAAGUCAGUUUCCUGAGUAUCGGUGUUUAAGUCUUCUGGAAAGGAGCGCCAUGGAGGGUGAUAGCCCCGUACGACACCUCACUCAUUGUAGGAUUCUGACGUGGAGUCGAGUUGUUUGGGAAUGCAGCUCAAAAGGGUGGUAUGCUCCAUCUAAAGCUAAAUAUCUGUGAGAGACCGAUAGCGAACAAGUACUGUGAAGGAAAGAUGAAAAGAACUUUGAAAAGAGAGUGAAAAAGUACGUGAAAUUGUUGAAAUGGAAGGAUAUGCCGCUAACAAUGUAGAGCCGUGUUUGGGGGGAAGACAAAAGCUGAAGAAUGUAUCUCUUUUAGGGAAUUAUAACUUCAGUCAAUAUUCCCAUCCGGGCGCGAGGACCUCAGGCUCUACUAAAUGGUGGUCUAUCACCCGU
rnacentral:rRNA from 1 species